rnacentral:rRNA from 1 species
UCUAAACGACUCUCGGCAACGGAUAUCUCGGCUCUCGCAUCGAUGAAGAACGUAGCGAAAUGCGAUACUUGGUGUGAAUUGCAGAAUCCCGUGAACCAUCGAGUCUUUGAACGCAAGUUGCGCCCGAAGCCAUUCGGCCGAGGGCACGCCUGCCUGGGCGUCA